GAUCAUGGCUCAGGAUGAACGCUAGCUACAGGCUUAACACAUGCAAGUCGAGGGGGCAGCAUGAUUGAAGCUUGCUUCAAUCGAUGGCGACCGGCGCACGGGUGAGUAACACGUAUCCAACCUGCCGAUAACUCGGGGAUAGCCUUUCGAAGAAAGAUUAAUACCCGACUAGCAUAGUUUCCCCGUCCAUGGGGUUACGUAUUAAAGGAAUUCCGGUUAUCGAUGGGGAGUGCGUUCCACUUAGG
rnacentral:rRNA from 1 species